CACGGGGGGAGCAAACGUUGUUCGGAAUCACUGGGCGUAAAGGGCGCGUAGGCGGCCUCGUAAGUGGUGUGUGAAAUGUCCUGGCUCAACCAGGGAAUUGCGCUCCAAACUGCGAGGCUUGAGGGCAGUAGAGGAAGCUGGAAUUCCAGGGUGUAGCGGUGAAAUGCGUAGAUAUCUGGAGGAACACCGUUGGCGAAGGCGAGCUUCUGGGCUGUCCCUGACGCUGAAGUGCGAAAGCUGGGGGAGCAACAGG
rnacentral:rRNA from 1 species